AGCUUUGUGAGUGGCAGUAUCGUAGCCAAUGACGUUUAUCCGAGGUGCGAUUAUUGCUAAUUGAAAGUUGAGUAUAAAAUCAAAUGGCAGUUCAAAGGUAGAACUGACAGAUUUG
rnacentral:snRNA from 1 species